rnacentral:ncRNA from 2 species
CACUGUAGCCGUGUCGAUGGUUCUUUCGUUUGAUUGUCAGGCGGAAGCUAAGAGGGAAUUCGGUGCGCCGUUUGAAGAAACGGCAAUGCCGAAGCUGCCCCCGCAACUGUAAGCGGCGAGCUUUUAUCCAUGCAUGGCCACUGAGACGUUCAGGCGUUUCGGGAAGGCCGGAUAAAAGCCGUGACCCGUGAGCCAGGAGACCUGCCGCGACUUUAUGUUACGU